GAUGAAGAACGUAGCGAAACGCGAUACGUAAUGUGAAUUGCAGAAUUCAGUGAAUCAUCGAAUCUUUGAACGCACCUUGCGCCCCUCGGCAUUCCGAGGGGCAUGCCUGUUUGAGUGUCACGGAUCCUUCGAACCCCGCCGGUCUCCGACGAGCCGGCCGCCUGGGUUCGGUCCUGGGCGCUACGCCACCCCUCCGGGGCUGGCCCGCCUCAAACGCAUCAGCUGGGCCUCGCGGCGUGGGCGGGCGCCGAUCGGCGUGAUAAGUCAUCUGCCGAGAGGGUGCCCGUCCGUCCCGCGGAUCGCGGUCCGCUCCCAACCCCUCCCCGCGCGCCGUCCCCCCCCGGGGAGCGCGCGGGGACGUUUCGACGCUCUGGCCUCAAAUCAGGUAGGACCACCCGCUGAACUUAAGCAUAUCAAUAAGCGGAGGA
rnacentral:misc_RNA from 1 species